AAUAGAUACCCGGGUAGUCCACGCCGUAAACGGUGAGUGCUAAGUGUUAGAGGGUUUCCGCCCUUUAGUGCUGCAGCAAACGCAUUAAAGCACUCCGCCUGGGGAGUACGGUCGCAAGACUGAAACUCAAAGGAAUUGACGGGGGCCCGCACAAGCGGUGGAGCAUGUGGUUUAAUUCGAAGCAACGCGAAGAACCUUACCAGGUCUUGACAUCCUCUGACAACCCUAGAGAUAGGGCUUCCCCUUCGGGGGCAGAGUGACAGGUGGUGCAUGGUUGUCGUCAGCUCGUGUCGUGAGAUGUUGGGUUAAGUCCCGCAACGAGCGCAACCCUUGAUCUUAGUUGCCAGCAUUCAGUUGGGCACUCUAAGGUGACUGCCGGUGACAAACCGGAGGAAGGUGGGGAUGACGUCAAAUCAUCAUGCCCCUUAUGACCUGGGCUACACACGUGCUACAAUGGGCAGAAACAAAGGGCAGCGAAGCCGCGAGGCUAAGCCAAUCCCACAAAUCUGUUCUCAGUUCGGAUCGC
rnacentral:rRNA from 1 species